rnacentral:rRNA from 1 species
AUUGAACGCUGGCGGCAGGCCUAACACAUGCAAGUCGAACGAGUGGCGGACGGGGGAGUAAUGUCUGGGAAACUGCCUGAUGGAGGGGGAUAACUACUGGAAACGGUAGCUAAUACCGCAUACCAUCGGAUGUGCCCAGAUGGGAUUAGCUAGUAGGUUGGGUAACGGAUCACCUAGGCGACGAUCCCUAGCUGGUCUGAGAGGAUGACCAGCCACACUGGGACUGAGAAACGGUCCACACUCCUACGGGAUGCAGCAGUGGGGAAUAUUGCACAAUGUGCGCAAGCCUGAUGCAGCCAUGCCGCGUGUAUGAAGAAGGCCUUCGGGUUGUAAAGUACUUUCAGCGGGGAGGCGUUACCCGCAGAAGAAGCACCGGCUAACUCCGUGCCAGCAGCCGCGGUAAUUC